rnacentral:rRNA from 1 species
GGUGGUGCAUGGUUGUCGUCAGCUCGUGUCGUGAGAUGUUGGGUUAAGUCCCGCAACGAGCGCAACCCUUAUUCUUAGUUGCCAUCAUUUAGUUGGGCACUCUAAGGAGACUGCCGGUGACAAACCGGAGGAAGGUGGGGAUGACGUCAAAUCAUCACGCCUCUUAUGACCUGGGCUACACACGUGCUACAAUGGACGAUACAAAGAGUCGCAAACUCGCGAGGGUAAGCUAAUCUCAUAAAAUCGUUCUCAGUUCGGAUUGUAGGCUGCAACUCACCUGCAUGAAGCCGGAAUCGCUAGUAAUCGCGGAUCAGCAUGCCGCGGUGAAUACGUUCCCGGGUCUUGUACACAC